GCUUCUGCUUGAGUCAGUCCUCACGCUACUCAUGGAUGUCUUUUUAAGAAUGCAUACAGUUCUCAUUCUGUUGCCCACGCCGGAGUGUAGUGGCACAAUUUUGGCUCACUGCAGUCUCUUGCCUCCCAGGUUCAAGUGAUUCUCCUGCCUCAGCCUCCCAAGUAGCUGGGUUUACAGGUAGUCAAGUGAAAAAAUGAGCUUCAUCUGUGGAUUGCAGUCUGCUGCUAGAAACCAUGUUUUCUUCCGAUUUAAUUCACUGUCUAACUGGAGAAAAUGUAACACAUUAGCAUCCACCUCACGGGGCUGUCAUCAAGUACAAGUUAACCAUAUAGUAAAUAAGUAUCAGGGACUGGGAGUAAAUCAGUGUGACAGGUGGAGUUUUCUGCCUGGAAACUUUCAUUUUUAUAGUACUUUUAACAACAAAAGAACAGGAGGCCUCUCAAGUACCAAAAGUAAGGAAAUUUGGAGGAUUACCAGCAAAUGUACUGUAUGGAAUGAUGCUUUUUCAAGACAGCUGCUAAUAAAAGAAGUUACAGCAGUCCCUAGUCUGUCAGUAUUGCAUCCUCUAAGCCCUGCUUCCAUAAGAGCUAUUAGGAAUUUCCAUACUUCUCCACGGUUUCAAGCUGCUCCGGUUCCUCUCUUGUUGAUGAUUCUUAAACCAGUACAGAAGUUAUUUGCAAUCAUUGUAGGCAGGGGCAUAAGGAAAUGGUGGCAGGCACUUCCUCCUAACAAGAAGGAAGUAGU
rnacentral:lncRNA from 1 species